rnacentral:misc_RNA from 1 species
GCGGGUCUGCUCGGUUUGUGACAGCACAUUUCCAGUGGCCCAUAAGCAUCUCCGAGGGAGCUGGCUCUGUUUGGAUCCUGGUCCAAGUAUCUGGCGACCACCUGAACACUCAGGCUCUCGGGAAAUUACAGCUCGCACGGCUGCUGCGGUCCCCGC